GGCCUCUUGUUUAUAUAUGAGGUCUGACCUGCCCGGUGAAAUUUAUUUUAACGGCCGCAGUAUUUUGACUGUGCAAAGGUAGCAUAAUCAUUAGUCUUUUAAUAGGGGGCUGGAAUGAAGGGUUUGACGAGGUGUUAGCUGUCUCAUCUAAUUUGUAUUUAAAAUUUAACUUUUCAGUUAAAAGGCUGAAAUUUUUUUGGAAGACGAGAAGACCCUAUAGAGCUUUAUAGUUUAGAUUUUUAUAAAGGGUUGUUUAUGAUUAUUUAUUAUUUUUUAAACUAUUUUGUUGGGGUGACAAAAAUAUAUAAUUAACUUUUUCAUUAUAUUUACAUUGAUUGAUGAAUAUUAGAUCCAAUUUUAUUGAUUGUUAGAUUAAGUUACC
rnacentral:rRNA from 1 species